rnacentral:rRNA from 1 species
AUGCACUGCUUAUAUAUAGUCUUUUGUAUAAGAAAUAGUGGGAGACAUGCCCGUGCGUUGAGAACCCUCCUCUCUCACCACAUGCAUCGGCCUACAUCAUUUAUUUUAAAACACGCCCUACUUGUGCUGUCGCUUAUUCUCCUUAUCGCCCGUGACGAUGGGCCGCAUUGCCCACUUGAUCAAAAGAUGUCCAAACGCGGUCAAUCUCAAGCGCCGAUUAGCUCAGCCACCACUAGGAGCAUUUUUUUCUUACGAAGAACAAACAAGGGGAUAAAAAUCAAGCUAAGCGCAUUUUUUAACAAGAUCGAACAGGCGAUGUCAUUUACAACUACCAAGAUGUAUAUUUGCAAUAAUACAAAAAAUGCACAAAAUAGUUGUUCCAAAUAUAGCACCGCCGAUACAAAUAAAGGAUUGUGGAUGAGUCAAUUAUUGAGUAUUUGCCCAAUAUGGAUUAAACAAUUUGUCGGCGGUAAAAACAACAGAUCAUAUGCUUAA